ensembl:misc_RNA Gm27866 predicted gene, 27866
UGUCUGUGGGACUAGAUCCCUUCGUGGCCCAAUGCUCUGGGAAACGAAGCAGCUCAAUACAAACUUUUGAUAUUAGUUUUUUAAAGGUAUUUACACUUUGGUGAGAGUAGCUGGGUACGGAAGCUGCUUCGUUAAUCAGCCCCCGACCGACCUUAGGUUCGGCUGGGAC